rnacentral:sRNA from 1 species
UCUGGCAGUAAGAAAAAGAAAGUCACCAAAGCUGAACGAUUGAAGCUGCUACAAGAGGAGGAGGAGAGACGACUGAAAGAGGAAGUUACUUUCUUGAAGAAAGGAGAACUGACACUUUUCUCAUAUCUACCAUGUAAUAAAGACUGUGACUUCUAUAAAAGAUUCCACCACUACAUCUUGAAAAUAUUAGGAGUAAUUUUAAGGGCUUAAAAAUACAGUGAUCUAUUCACUGAGAAAAAAAAUUUGUUUUGGUUCUUUAGAGGAAGCCCGUUUGAAAUAUGAGAAAGAAGAAAUGGAAAGGCUUGAAAUACAGCGAAUUGAGAAAGAAAAAUGGCAUCAACUUGAAGCAAAAGAUCUAGAAAGGAGAAAUGAAGAACUUGAAGAACUUUAUUUAUUAGAGAGGUGUUUUCCUGAAGCAGAGAAAUUGAAACAGGAGACUAGAUUGCUUUCUCAGUGGAAGCACUACAUUCAAUGUGAUGGGAGUCCUGAUCCUUCAGUAGCCCAAGAAAUGAACACGUUUAUUAGUUUGUGGAAAGAGAAAACAAAUGAGACUUUUGAGGAAGUGAUUGAGAAGAGUAAAGUAGUGCUAAAUUUAAUUGAGAAAUUGAAAUUUAUUUUAUUGGAAACUCCACCAUGUGAUUUGCAAGAUAAAAAUAUAAUACAGUACCAAGAAUCAAUUCUACAACUGCAGGAGCUCCUUCAUCUUAAAUUCAGUGUAGCCACAGAAAUACUUCUCAGA